rnacentral:rRNA from 1 species
UCGGAAACGGACGCUAAUACCGCAUACGUCCUACGGGAGAAAGCAGGGGACCUUCGGGCCUUGCGCUAUCAGAUGAGCCUAGGUCGGAUUAGCUAGUUGGUGAGGUAAUGGCUCACCAAGGCGACGAUCCGUAACUGGUCUGAGAGGAUGAUCAGUCACACUGGAACUGAGACACGGUCCAGACUCCUACGGGAGGCAGCAGUGGGGAAUA